rnacentral:misc_RNA from 1 species
GAUGAAGAACGUAGUGAAAUGCGAUAAGUAGUGUGAAUUGCAGAAUUAGUGAAUCAUCGAAUCUUUGAACGCACAUUGCGCCCUUUGGUAUUCCUUAGGGCAUGCCUGUUCGAGCGUCAUUUAAACCUUCAAGCUAAGCUUGGUGUUGGGUGACUGUCCGCUUCACGGCGGACUCGCCUCAAAAUUAUUGGCGGCCGGUACAUUGGCUUCGAGCGCAGCAGAAACGCGAACUCGGGCCCGUCGUAUUGGCUCCCAGAAGCUAUCUUCACAAUUUUGACCUCGGAUCAGGUAGGGAUACCCGCUGAACUUAAGCAUAUCAAUAAGCGGAGGA